AACAUAUCCACAACAUUCUGAUGACCUGGUAGGUUUUCUUCCCUGGUAAACGCAUUUGUAUUACAAUGGUGUGGGGUGUUUGCACAAGAGCAAUUUUAUUUUUAUUUAUAUAAAGGGAAACUGGCCACUGAGACAAGCAAGCUUCUUCCACAUGCUUAAUCACGUUGCCAAAUAGGUCAAGAUUUAAGGUCUUGAUAGUAAUAACAACAUCCUGAAGUACACAACUCCACGGUCAAAGUAAGGCAGCUUGCAAACUUGCCGAGCAAUCCUGGCGCUCUCAUUUUUUUUUGUUUAUCCGUCUCCGCUUAGACUUUGAAGCGUCCAUUUCCGGUGACCUCUUGUUCUCAAUCUGCUAUCCAACUUUCACGCAAAUGGAAUUACACCAAAAUUCCAACGGAUUUUCCACCACUUCAAUACACAGAAAGAGCAGGCCAUUACAUGACUUCUCUUUCUGCCCUUUACCAAGUGUAACAAAAAACUUGUUCACACAUAGUUCAGUACUCUUUUCACAAUUCUAUUUCUUUCCCAUUUCACAUUUUCUUCUCGCCACUUCAAAAAAAUAAAGAACAGGGCUUGCAUUCCAAUACCAAAUGCAGGCCAACUUAAUCUUCGUGACAGCACAGCCGAAUAUCUUUUCUUUUCGUUCCAUUUUCAUCUUAUACUUCUGAAAAGAGCGUCUAUCAUCGGCUGAUUCAACAGGACACAAACACCAAUCAUGAACAUCUUGCCAUUCACAAUACACAACGUUGUCCUCCGUGACUCUCAAACACCAGCAAAUCUUUUUUUGUUCCCAUGUUUCCCACUGUGCAUGAAUAACAAAAGGGUUUCCCAAAGCCCCAAAGAAAAGGGAUUAUCACUAUCAUUUCUCUCUCUCUUUUGUGUAUUAAGACAACUGAAGGUGCAUCCAAAUGUUUUCCUCAUUUCUAUGGCAUCUUGUGUAGCUAUUUCUUCUUUCUUAGUGAUAUUAUGAAUUUACCUAUAUUACAACAUAGUAUAAAUAUUGGGCAAUUUUUCUUUCCUAAAUGAGAAUUUCCGCAAUUAUAUGUUCAAUUGUCACGAGAAAUAAACUGUUUUUUUGUUUGUUUUACUUUACUAUUCUGAGUUCAUCUCAAAAUAGAAUAAACCAAAUAUAUUAAAUUUGUGAAGUGAAAAAAAAGAAAAAACAACUAUUCUGACAAAGCUGAGAAUCUUCCUUUCAUCACAGGAAUUUGGUUAGCAUUUUUCUUAAUAAACAGUAAGUAUUUCAACCUCUUUCCUCCGUCCAUACAACUGGUCUACCUAUAGAGAGAAAGCGCUACACGACGGUUCGAUUUCCAUCACGACUGAAUACUAGGGCAGUGUAUCCUUCAACAUACAUUCAAAAAGUCAGCUGCUGGUGGCAAUCUCACCUUCCCAGGGUCUGCCUGUGUUUGAACUGACUUUGAAAAGAUUAUCGGACUUUGAAAUGCUUAUUACGCUAACAGAUGGGGAUACGACGUCAAAAAAAAAAAAAAAAAAAAAAAAAAAAAAAA